UAUGUAACUGGGUUUCUUGAAUUCACAAUUGUGAAGGCCACAAUUGUAGGAGCAGGCCUGUCCCCUGCUCUGUGGUGGGAGGGAAGCAGGCUCCUAUGUCCCAUCUAGGUGCCCAGGGAGCCGGCUCCAAAUGACCCCUCCUGAUGAGGCCACCAGCUGCCGCUCAGGAGGAAGGGGCCGGGCUCCUACCGACACUGCCAAGGCGCCCAGUUUCUGUGUUGAGUUGCGCUUUCGGACGUUGAUGAUAAAAAAAAAAAAAGGCAGUAAGUGCAUUAGAUAUAUCUUCCUCUCUACAGCAGUGCACCAUUUUAUUUUUAAAAAUGAUUUUUAUUUUUUCCAUUAUAGUGGGUUUACAGUGUUCUGUCAACUUCUACUGUACAGCAAACUGACGCAGUCACACAUACAUUAUAUAUAUAUUUUUUCUCACAUUGUCUUCCAUCAUAAAUGAGUAGAUCUGGUUCCCAGUGCUAUACAGCAGGGCCUCAUUGCUUAUCCACGCAGAGCGUCAGGGAGAGCUUCUUGGGGCAAGCUGAGCUCUGAAGAUAGCCUAGCAGUGGAUCCCUUUGAAGGCGACCUUCCGUUUUGGUGACUUGGCCAUAGCCCCUGAUCAAGCGGGCGGGAGCUGUGAAAGCACAGGCUUUCCCCAGCCUGCCUCCCAGGUUCAUCUCCAGCAGCCUUGUCUGCGAGCCCUGAGCUGCGGCCACACCCAGGAGCUCCAGGGACGCCUCCCCCACCUGCUCAUUCCCGACCAUCCAGAUCCUCAGACCCAGCUGUGCUCUCCCUGCUUCUGGAAACCCCUCUUCAGGGAGUCUCCUGCCACCCGUCCCUCAGUGAUUAGCGCGUCCCCUUUCCCGGGUUCUCAUAAUUCUGUGUGUUUAAGUCCUGCAAGCACCCGCCCACACACUCUCCUGGUCUCUUUGCAGACCUGCCUCCCUCGCUGGAGUGUUCCCCUUAUGAGGGUGGAGGCCUCUUUAUCUUGCAUGUUCAGCUGUAAGGCGGCUUUAUAAUGUCCGUGUAAUAAGAAUCUCAUUCCUGGAUUCCAGGUGGCUGUAAAGAAGCUUUAGAAUCACUAAGCUCGCUUUGCAGAUACAGGCUGAGACUGUGCUUCCUUGCACUUGGGAUGGUGUUGCUGUUGUGUAUUUAAGCUGGAUGUGCCGACAGGCUUGACUCUGACUCUGCGGCGACUCUACCUGUCCGGGCAGUUUCUCAGUCUGUCCGAGGCAAUUUGCAGUUCCUCUUGGAGAGGAAGGGGCAUGAGAACAAAUUCUCAAAGAUGGGCUCACUCACUGGUGUCCUCAGCUGGAGACUGAGGACAGGGGAUGAUGAUGAUGCUGAUGACGUGGGUGACGAUGCCGAUGAUGCUGAUACGUUGAUGAGGAUGAAAGGAUGACGCUGAUAUUGGUGAUGACGAUGCUGGCGAUGCGAUGAGGAUGUCGCUAGCCUGAGUGGUUGUUUCCGGGGGGCUUAACAACUUUCCAUUUCUUUUCUUUUCUUGCUCACACUACAGAAGAUAGAACAUAGGCAUGAUUAGCGUCUUAAAAAACCCCCGUACAUGGUUCACGUAUACAACUGAGUGAGUGUGGGGAAGAAUGUACCCCUCCGAACCCCUGACCACCGCCGUCAAGGCCAUGGACAUAGCCGUCACUUCCCAAAGUUUUCUCCCACUCUGUUUAUUAGUGUUAUUGUCAUAUUAUUGUUACUGUAUGAACACUUAACCUUUGAUCUUCCCUCUUAGAACAUAGUAAGUGCAGUAUCGCUAGCUGUGGACACUGUGCUGUGUAGCAGAGCUCCAGAAAUCCUUGGUCUUGCGUCAAACUUACCCCUCCCCCAAGCUCCAGGCGACUACCAUUCUGCUCUCUGCUUCUGAAUUGGACGCUUGAAGUCACCCGUCAUAGGGAGGCAAACACUGGUGCCCAAAGCGCCCUAUUCAGGUGUCCACACAGCCGUCUCAACACCACUUCCUGCUGUUCCUCGUGUGUAAGCACCUGCACCACUACCUUCACAAGCACCCAUGCGUAGAUGCUUGCAGAGUUGGGCGUGUUCCGUGUGCUUGUGUGCACGUGGGUAGGUGUGUUCUUGGGCAUAUCUGGUCUUGGCUCUUCACAUUAGAAUGGCUGUCGUGUGCUCUGUGUAUGCAUGUGUCCCCUCAACUUGGAAAAGCAUCAGGGCCCCAACUGGGCUGUUGUUAAUAGGGCAAAAGGUUCCCUGAGGGGCGGACGCCCACCCCGGUUCCCUCCUUCCUUGUCCACUUUGGAGUAAGAGUACCUUCGACCAAGUGUACCUUGAGUGGGGUGGGCGCCCUAGCCGUACACCAAGCGGUGUGGCAGAGAGAGCUGCAGAAUAUCGGGAGGUAAACUUCCAGCAGUGAAGACUUCCUGUUCAGUGGUAAAUGUGCAUUUCAACACUGCCUGUCAUUUUUAAUCUCAGGCCCUUCACACCAUCACCUCCUAGGAGCAGACUCUCUGUAGGGCCUCCUUCCAGCCAGGCAACACCCAGGCUCAGGAGCCCAUUGUAGACUCCAGGGCCCAGAGGCAAGUAUGGGUGUGGAUGCAGCCGCCUGGUGAUGUAUGCAAAUUUCACUGUCAGGGUAGCUCAAAUGCAGUCCCAGGAUAGUGCCAAGGGGCAUUUUGUGUUACCAGGCCAUGGGCGGUGUCCCCUGAGACAGGAAUCCUCCAGGUAGGAGGUGGGCCUGCUGAGUGGCUUGUUCAGUCCUAUUAAAGGUGAGAAUGCACUGAAGGCAGCUGACAAGUUGGAGAAGCCCCUGUUUGUCUCCCAAAGACAAACAGUUGACAGUUCAAAGAGAGAAGCAGGCUUCCUGGAAGUUGCCAUCGCUGCUUCCAGCCCCUGACUCAGGGCACAGAAACCUGGCAGGGGUGCAUUUUUUUUUUUUUUUCUUCAUUGUCAGAAAGUCAGUUGCUUACUCCCAGAGUUUAUUUUGUUUUAGUUCACCUUAUUUUAUUCAGAUUUUCAAGUUAGCAUUCUUUAGCGGUUAUUAUUAUUAUAAUCCAUGACCUCAUGGAUCCUAGGAAAUACCUAUGUGUUACACAUUUGUUUCUGUCCCUCGUACCUGCUCAUCUUACCUGAGUUUGUAUAAAAUCUUCCUACUUUGUCGAAAGUCCCUAUCUGAGUUAGACGCACACAGCCCCCCUUAUAGCACCAAGCAAAAUCCAGAAGGAGUUUUCUAAUGUUUGCUGUGGGUCUGGAGCAUGAAAAGCCUUUUUGUUCUACCCAGAAAGACACUGAACUGGGGUCUGGCCACAUGCCUGAGGCCACUCGGUAAGUAGCGUAAGGAGAGCCAAGAACCUCGAUGUGAUGGGCAAAAAUGCCCAGUAAAAGUUCCAACUUGUAAACUUUGGCAGACCGCUGGGUGGUACGAAACGGACCAUCCAGAAUGGAGGAUCCGUUCGGAGAGCAGAGGGUCAGAAAUGAGCCUCCAGUCUUUCUAAGUCAAUCGAAUGAAUGUCAGGUACGGAAGGUAGUAAGGGCCAGUAAUCUAGAUAUGCGUUUUUGAAGUUCUGAAACAGUGCUUUUUCAUGACAUAAAUCCACAGGCAAAAUAGCCAGGAUGUAUGAAGAAGGGAUUUUUUUUUUUUAAACUUUUGUAUUUACGUCACAUGGAUAUAACCUAGGCUUCCUUCCAGUCUGUUUUCUCCUCUCCUAAAGAUAGAUACUGCAGGAGGAGGAGGGCUGGGGUCUCAGCUGACUGUGUGACAGUGGAGUUCGUGUCUGUUUAAGCCACCCAGUUGGUGAUACUUUGUUAUAGCAGCUCUGGGAAGCUGAUAUAGUUGGAUUCUUGUUUCCAACCCUUUGUGAGCACUGGUUGGUGUGGUUUGAUGUGGCUUUUGAUAGAAAGACCACAGGUCAUAAGACAUAGACAUUUGGGAUUCGUGAGAUAAGAGGCUUCCUAGGGCCCAAGGAGAACAGCUCCUGUGACCGACUGAGUGCUCUGUGUGUGGCUCCCUGUUCCUCCUCCUGGGCAUGCUGGGGGGCUUCCCAGGCUCCUUCAGAAUGAAGUUGGUAACAGCAGCCUGCUGCCAGGCUUCCAGAGUCUCUAUCUCGAUUUCUCUUUUUCUGCCACAGUGACCUUGAAGGCACCGUGUUCCGUGUGCUCAGUACAUUAAGAAGGUGAGCCAUCUAUUCCCAUCAGUCUCUGUAAGCCUGAGAAAUAAACAUUCUUUGUGUUAUGCUUGAUUGUUGGUCUUCAUUUGUAAUUUCAGAAAGCGCUAUCCUCUCCUCUGACCCCAGCAGGGAUUGUUCCCAAAAGGAUUAGAGGGGGUAUUCGGGGAACUGAGAUUGUAGCAUCGCUGACCUUGCAGAGGCCGACUUUUCAAAGAGGUCCACACUCUCCUCCCACUCAUUCCGUUGCAGCUUGGAGAAAAUCUAAUUAAACCAAGUGCAGUCCUGGUGGGCUUGAGCUCAAGAGCAAGAAAUGCUUCCAUUUUCACACAUAGCGGCUGUAUGACCCUCGGCAGAUUGCCUCUGUGCUCAGAACCUCAGUUUGUUCGUGUGUAAAGUGGGAAGCAGCAGCUCCCUCGCAGACCUGUUUCCAGGUUAAACGGAAUGAGUUACGUCAUGGCGAUUGAUAGCAGCCAUCCACUGAUAAAUCAUUAAGCAUCAGCUUGAUUAUGCACUUCCCUUACUUUAUCAAGAAGGCUACUGUCUUUGGUGGUCAGGAUGGGCUUCUCUCCCUGGUGCUUCAGAAUCUUUGUAUUCUCAACAGACACCUAACAAACCCAUGAACUUCCUGUGUGGCUACACACCUCUCCCUUAAAAUGGGCAGCGGGAACAUUGCCUGUGGACUAGGGUUUCCAGAUUUUGUCCUCUAGACAGGGAGGUUUGGUUUUGCUGUACAAAUUAGGGGCUUGGUACCAGACUUUAGAUUACAUUUUAGAAUAAUGCCAUUGCUUAUUAUGUCCAAAAAAGGAGGAUGCGAUAGCAUUGUGUUUAAAUAAAACUCCUCUUAAUUACAAGAGUGUGUGAGCAUUUCUGAGGGAGAAACAAGUGACAUUUCGGUUUACGUAAUCAACAUCUGUGUUUAACAUUCUCUUUUUAAUGGUGUGUAUUUCACCCUUGGCUGUGCCCUCUUCCUUGUACCCAGAACUAAGAAAUCAUAAUUUCUGUAGUGGGGGUCCCCGGCACACGUGUUUUUUGACGACCCUGAAGUGAUUCCAGUGAAACUCUCCUUUGGGGAAAACUUGAUCAAAGACGCAUAAUUACAGUUGUUACCGUGCUAGGGGUGCAAAUGACACGAAGUCUUCCAGGGUUUUCCGAGGCGCGCCGUUGUAAAGGGAUGCUCGUUCUCAUUGUCUCCAUUUUUCAAAUACGGAAACAGAGUCUCAGAAUUGAAAAGUCUUGCCCAAGUUCACACAGUUAGGGUGCAGUGAAGUUAACUCGCACCUUGGCUUGUCUGGGUACAAAGCCUUCUGCCAAAAGGCCAGUCCCUUGUUCUGCUGACUCCCCUUCGUCUGGCAUAAGCAUGAUUCUGGUCACGAACAUCUGAAUUGGUUUGCUGCCUCUGAAGGUAAAGCAAGUCACGAAUUCCCAGGAGGCACCACCGUGUCACAAAUGAUACAGAGCCAGUGGUAGUGGUCCUGGAGAGGACAGAUGCGCUCCCUCGCAUUUCGCUCUGAAAAUUCUGAUGGAGAGGCCCGUCUGGUCACUGCCUGGAAUCACAGCAUAGAGGUGGUUCAAAUCAAUACGAGUGAGAGAGAAGGUGAAUCUUCUUGAUGGAGUUUGAUAAAGGGCUGAGUCACACUCUGCGCACAAACCAACCUCCCCAUCCACCCAGGUGGACCUUCUCACAAUUCUAAACGUGCUUUAAUACCCCAGCCUUUGAAAAGACCCUUGCCUCAUUGGGCAUUUUCCCGGAACACCUUCUGCUUUCCUUGCAGGAAUUUAAGUAACUUCCGCAGGCAGAUGGCUCUUCCUUCCUUCCUUCCUUCCUUCCUUCCUUCCUCUCUCUCUCUCUUUCUUUCUUUCCUUUUUCCUCUCUGGAAUGGCUCCUUUCACGCUGUCGGCCGCGCGUCAUCAGACCCGGCAUUGCCCCCGGAAGAGGAUCUGCUUCCCUAGGGCUGGGAGGACGUCACGUCUGUCUUGGAGACCCAGGAUCUGGAUUCAGAAUCAACGUCUGGCAUUAGAGCAGGCACGGGACUUAAAAAAAUAAAUGAACGAAAUGAUGAAUCGGGGGGAGUUUGGUCCUUCGGAGCUGGGCCUAGGGAUUUCCUGAGCCAAGAAUCCCUGCUGGUCCUCUGAGUGUAUUCAGAACCAAAGCACCAGUGCGAUGUGUCUUGCCAUUUGCGGUCGCCCCCCGAGUUCGUUGCAUCGUGGGAGAAUUAGCUCGGAGCCUAAGCCCCAGCUGAUGGGAGCAUGUCAUCCCUGCUCCAUUCAGAGGAUUCCCCCCAGUAAUUAUAGGGUAAAUGCCUUGUUAAAUCCUAAGCCCUCACAAUACGUCUCCCGACACGGAGUUCAUAUUCCUUGGGCAGUUGAUCGCACUUUCGAGUGGUACAUAUUUUAUAGAGAAGGGAGAGCUCUCCAAUUAAUAGUAAUUGUGAUCGAAGCGGUAAUGCUUGUCUCCAGCCUCAUUCCGCGAGAGGAGACUGGAAGGCCCAUCUUAAUUGCCACAAAGAGCUAUGUCUAUCCGCGGCAGGAUAUAAAUAAUAAAUUAGAGGAAGGGAGAGCACUGCAAUUCUUAGGGUCUUCGAGGAGGUACGGAUAUUUAUGUAGUGCUGAUUGCUAAAAAUCCUCUCCAAGUAAUUAUUAGUAAAAGCGGAAUGUCUACAUUUGUAAGGGAAUUUUAAUUAAGGGGAAGGUGACUGUCAUUACGGGGAAGAAGUAGCGUUUGGGGAUUAAAAUGCAGGUCCAGGGCCGGGCAUCCAGGUCUGAUUGGCUGUCGCUGCUGCCUCUUGGACAGUGGCAGCAAAGUCAGUUCCUCUGGGUUCAAUUUCCCUUGGUUUUUAAACCAAGAGAAAUAAAGCAGUUAAAAGUGCUUGAAGUUCUGGAGUUCCCUUUGUGGCUCAGCGGAAAUGAACCCAACUAGUAUCCAUGAGGAUGCUGUGUGGCUGUGGCUGUGGUGUAGGCGGCAGCUACAGCUCCAAUUCAGCUCCUAGCCUUGGAACGUCCAUAUGCUGUGAGUGCAACC
rnacentral:lncRNA from 1 species